AAUUAAAUAAAUCUCCGAGCAUUUCAACCUGUGAACUUAUAAAUUUAUGGUUGCUGUGCCGAUAGGGUUUGAUUGGAAACAAUCAGGCCUCCUGAUGGAAAGGAGAAUAUCAUGCGCAAAA
rnacentral:ncRNA from 2 species